AGGGUUGUGAGGUUAAGUGACUAAGCGUACACGGUGGAUGCCUAGGCAGUCAGAGGCGAUGAAGGACGUGCCGAAAAGCGCCGGUAAGCUGAUAUGAAGCGUUAUCAGCCGGCGAUGUCCGAAUGGGGAAACCCGGUGCAACUCGUUGCAUCAUCGUUAAGUGAAUAAAUAGCUGAACGAGGCGAACCAGGGGAACUGAAACAUCUCAGUACCCUGAGGAAAAGAAAUCAACCGAGAUUCCCCCAGUAGCGGCGAGCCAAGCAGUGGGAGCAUCCUUCGGUGUGUAACUGCGUACCUUUUGUAUAAUGGGUCAGCGACUUAUAUUCUGUAGCAAGGUUAACCAUAUAGGGGAGCCGUAGGGAAACCGAGUCUUAACUGGGCAUCUAGUUGCAGGGUAUAGACCCGAAACCCAACAACCCAGACCGCCAGCUAAGGUCCCAAAGUCAUAGUUAAGUGGGAAACGAUGUGGGAAGGCCCAGACAGCCAGGAUGUUGGCUUAGAAGCAGUCAUCAUUUAAAGAAAGCGUAAUAGCUCACUGGUCUAGUCGGCCUGCGCGGAAGAUGUAACGGGGCUAAACUAUGCACCGAAGCUGCGGCAGCGACACGUAAGUGUUGUUGGGUAGGCGAGCGUUCUGUAAGCCUGCGAAGGUGGCCUGUAAGGGUCGCUGGAGGUAUCAGAAGUGCGAAUGCUGACAUAAGUAACGAUAAAGCGGGUGAAAAGCCCGCUCGCCGGAAGACUAAGGGUUCCUGUUCAACGUUAAUCGUAGCAGGGUAAGUCGACCCCUAAGGCGAGGCCGAAAGGCGUAGUCGAUGGAAAACAGGUCAAUAUUCCUGUACUAGGUGUGACUGCGAAGGGGGGACGGAGAAAGCUAGGUUCGCAGGGCGACGGUUGUCCCUGUUUAAGCGGGUAGGUGGAAAGAGCAGGCAAAUCCGCUCUUUCAUAACACUGAGGCGUGAUGACGAGCCACCACGGUGGUGAAGGAAUUGAUGCUAUGCUUCCAAGAAAAGCCUCUAAGCGCCAAGUCACAUCGAAUCGUACCCCAAACCGACACAGGUGGUCAGGUAGAGAAUACCCAGGCGCUUGAGAGAACUCGGGUGAAGGAACUAGGCAAAAUGGUGCCGUAACUUCGGGAGAAGGCACGCUG
rnacentral:rRNA from 1 species